GACUGCAGUCUACCAGGCUCCUCUGCCCAUGGGAUUUUCCAGGCAAGAGUACUGGAGUGGGUUGCCAUUGCCUUCUCUGAUAUGGACUCUUGGUGGCCCUUAAAUCACCAGAGGCCUCUAGUUUCAGAGAGAAUCACAACAAAGCAGUGUGAUACAAGCAGUCCCCAGCUCCAACAGAGGACUGCUAGUCACAGUAACACAUUUCUUAAGCUUCUCCUUUCCCUCUAAAAGCCCCUAGCAAGUAAGCUAGGGCCUGAGAAGCAAGAGGCUGGCGGUGUCAGAGCCAAGUCUUAUCCCCCACACCCAACACACACAGACACACACACACAGAAGUACACACUCCAAGCCUAUCCUGGGGAAGGAGAGAAGAGCUUUGAAUCCCUUAUGAGAUUAGUUUGGAGAGGUUUUAAUAUCUAAAAGUGAUCUGAGAGAUAUCAGAUCUGCCUACUAUGACACUAAGGGAUGGAGAGAAUGAUUGGACAGGACAUGGUUGAAAGCAGUAAUAAAAGGAGAUAUCAAGCCUUUUUCUUAUGUAUCCUUCAGUUUGAGGGUUUUCAAAUAAACUGGUUACCUAAAAUAUUUAUUUAGUGCAUAGUUUCUGUAAAUUUUAAGUGUAGAAAUAAAAUAACACCAUGGAGGGAAAAAGAUAUAGGCAAGAAAUUUCACCUUUUUCUAGCUUUAUCCUCUGAGGAUGUUUCGUCUGUCCCUGAAAAGGACACCUUGGCAGCCUAGGGUCUCUGAGCACUGGGCAGGGAGACAUGAACCCGGGGCCCUGGCUGCAGCGGUGGCACAGCUGCGGGCUCUGUGAAGCCCCCCUGCCUCUAUGGUCUGGUUUCCUCUGCAUCAGUGGCAUCCCAGGUGCUCCCAGGAUCCCCUCGACUUGCUUGUCAGUGACUCAUAACCUGAUCUUUGUAGGGACCAGAGCAUGUGAAACACAUCAAAUGUAGGUUCAAUACAACUCCAGUAAUUUUCCCACAUAAAACACCGGUUAUGUAAGUAAGGAGAGUCCUUCACUCCAGAGUUUAUGUGUUUCUCUAGAGGUCAGAUUAAAUCUCUCUUACGUUCCAAAGUGGAGAAUGGACAUUGAUGAUGUAGCAAGAGCCUGGUGUGGUGGCUGUGGGAUGGGCAACCUGGGAGCCCUGAAGUCUCCACCCAUCAGCCAAUGGAUCCUGGGAGCUGGCAGCAGGCUUCUUCACCACAGCUGUUUCGCCAUCUCAGUAUUAAAGGAUGCGAGGAAAUACACUGAAGCUCCUGUUGAAGGAGAUGCUUAUGGCGUCUUUAUUUGCUCCUUAGAAAGUUUUUUAAAAGGUUAUUAUUAGAAGAAAAAUAAUAAAGAAAAAUUUUAAAUUAAUUAUUAAAUAUUUUCCAUGUAUGAUAAGAUACAGAUAAAACUAGAACAGCACUCAUUUACCUAUACUCAGGUUUUUAAAUGAACAUUUGGCCACAUUUGCUUCCAAUUUAAAAACAAUUAAGAAAAGGCAGGCAGGGAGGCAGGAAGGCAGGUAGAAGGAAGGGAGCCAGGAAGGGAAGGAAGAAGGGAAGGAAGCAAGGAAAACAUCUAAUUGCAGUUGAAAUGCCUUCCCAGUCUCAUGUGAGAAGAUAAUUACCACUCCUCAAAGGUCGCCCUCCAGGCCCUGAGGAAUUUUUCCUGAAUUACAAAGGAGGAGCAGAUCAAAUGCCUGUCAUAACACUCUUCAGAAAACAAGGAGCAACCAGAAGUUUCCAUUCAUCUAAGGAAUCUUUGAAAAUCCUGCCUUGGGUGGAGUGACAUUUGGUAACAAUAAAAACAGUCCCCUUGGCAGAGGCCCAGGGCACAGCCGGAGCUGACCAGUGGCCUGUUCCUCCAGGGGUGGGGCCUCACCUCUUCAUGCUUCCAGGAAGUUCCCAAGAACGUCAGGAACCCUGUCUGGUCUUGCUGGGUCCCAGCCCGCCCUCCACCCAGGCUUCCUGUCCACCCCCAUCACAAGAGAAGGCACCUUUAAACCAGCGCUUUCCUCUUCUAAAGGCCAGUGAGGCUUCACCUCUCCUCAGUGUAAGCAGACUGGAAGGAAUCACCAGACAGAGCGCCUCACAGAUUCAUAUUUUCAACAAGUUAUUUGGGUUCCAGCCCACUUCAGAUCCUGAGGGGUGGAAUCCUAGAUGGCAAAACCAAAAAAUUACCAUGUCAGCUGUGCGGCAACUGGUCUGAGUGAAUACACUUGCUACUCUUCUCUUGAUGGUUUUGUGUUUUUUUUUUUUUUAAACAAAGCUCUAAAAUAACAACUAAUAUUUCAAAACAAAAUAUGUGCUUUUAAAUGAAUAUGCAAAGUAAUUUUUAUAAUUAACAUCUCGUGAUUCCUACAACAUUUUUGUAGAGGUAAUAGGAGAUUUUAUGUCCUUUUCCUCCUUCUCUCUGAAAAAUGUAAUUUUGCUGUCUUUUUAUAGCUGGCAGCACUGAAAUAUAAGACUGAAGUAGCAUAGAAUUACCAGGUGUUUUUGUACUGUUGAAUUUACUGGUAGUGAUGUUAGGAGCAAAAUGAAUAAAGGAACUUCCCACUUGACCAUCCAGCAGUGGGACACCCCUCCUUGCCAUCACUGAAUUCUUUUGUCUAGCAACUUCGGCAUGAUUGAUGUGAUGAGAAAUGUUAGCAUGACACUGAUGUAAAACACUCUGGCCUAGGAAGGAAUGUAUUUCAUACACACACACACAUAUAUAUAAAAAUAUGCAUUCAGAAGUAUUCUUUUUCUCUCCUUAAAACAAUGCUCCCCUGUAACCAUGGAAUUGUUCCUAGUUAUUUAAACAAUUUUUAUUUGCCCAUUAAAAUUUUCAUAAAAUCAUG